GCAUGUGUGAGAUAAGCUUCCCCUCCUGAGUUGAAGGCUGUCACCCGGGGAGCCUGGUCUGCCCCAGGGGCCCUAUGGGACAGGACUGUAAAGGAAGAAUGUGAAGCCCUGUCCUGAGGCCAGGGUUGGGACAGUCUGUGGGGCAGCCAGGGAAAGAAUGGACGGGUAAGGCCUAGUUCAAGCCCAACUCUGUCCUUCAGAAUCCAGCUUCUCCUCCUCCUCUGGGAGGAAAACUUUCCCACCUGCCAGGAACCUCCAACCGAGUGGGUCAAGGACAGGAAAGGGAUGUAAAUGCACCGCCUUCAUAGGACUGAAUCUUCAAGAGAAGUUCUCUUGCUCUGCACCAUGCAAUACAGCUUCUGGGCUGGGAACUCGUCUUUCCAUUCCGACAGAGGCCGGGCCACGGUCGCUUCCAUGCACUUUGAAAGCAGUGCGUGAUGCCACAGGCCUGUGGCAAGGCCAGAGGACAGCUAUGACAAGAGGGACAGCAAGGGAGGUAGAAGAGGACACCCCGGAAAUGAGCUGGGGAAACACAAGCAUGGUUUAGAAGGGGAUCCCUGCCACCAGGAGCCACCACUGCCACCACUACCACCACGCUCAGCUCUGAUCUGCGUGAAACAGGCUCCAAGCCUCAUGAGUCUUCUCCUCAGAUGUCACCCUAAUAGAAUGUCUUCCACUGGGACCUCACUGAGAAGCCAAGAGCCUCAACUCGUACCAGCAGUAACCCAGGGAUAUCAAGAAAAGAUUCUUCGAAGGCUACUCUUUCUACAGGUGCCUGAGACCAUGUCAACUGCCCUUUCAUCCCCACUAAGAAACAGUCAAGACCCACUGUGAAGCCCACCUUUGGAGACUUUCAAGAUGAAAACAGAUCAGAAGGCAUCUCUGUCCUAAUGACCAGAGAGACAUUUCUAUCCAUGUCGUCUCGGGACCAACUGAGCAGCGAGACAUGGGAGCAAGUAUCAGUCGCCACGUUCAAGAACAGAAGGACAGGGGGAAAGGAGGAGGACCUUCCGUGUCUGGUCCACCUGACAUGCUCUGGCCUCACCUGCCUGCUACCACCAGUCCUCACUGGCCAAGUUCUUAAACCAAGCAGUAGAGAUAAGCUGGGACAGCUUUGAGCCUCUGUUCUUAUUGUCCUUGCCUCCUUCCUAGGACACUUCCCUAUUCUUGUUUCUUCUAGCUUCUUUAAUCCUGUGUGACUCCCACACCGGUGUAUUCUUUCCCUCUGAACUCAUAAACCAUGUCUUACUCACUUUGCAUUGCCAGCACUAUUGGUUGUGGUUUGUGAGCAUAUCUCCUCAACUACACUGUAAGUUCCUCACUGGAGUGAACUUUAUCUAUUCUUUUGUAUACACCUUGUGCACUGAUCAGGCAAAUUGUCCAGUAAACAUUAGCAAAUAUCUGAGUGCUUACUCCUGGGUGUUUAUUUCACAACAGUUCAAUGAGGUAGGCACAUAAUCAACCCCAUUUUAUAGUUGAAAACGUUCAGAAACAAAGGAGUUGAGUGGCCACUGCCCUAGUAAAUACGUCCUAGUCAAAGGAUCCUUUACAGAGUCUGGGUAUUUUAAUGUGGUGGAUGUAGAAGGAGAGUUAAAAACCUUGGGUCUGUGGCCCUGUCCAGUUUGGCUCAGCGGUUAG